UAGCUGGUCUGAGAGGAUGAUCAGCCACACUGGGACUGAGACACGGCCCAGACUCCUACUGGAGGCAGCAGUAGGGAAUUUUCCGCAAUGGGCGAAAGCCUGACGGAGCAAUACCGCGUGAGGGAGGAAGGCUCUUGGGUUGUAAACCUCUUUUCUCAGGGAAGAAGAAAAUGACGGUACCUGAGGAAUAAGCAUCGGCUAACUCCGUGCCAGCAGCCGCGGUAAUACGGAGGAUGCAAGCGUUAUCCGGAAUGAUUGGGCGUAAAGGGUCCGCAGGUGGCCAUGUAAGUCUGCUGUUAAAGAAUCUAGCUCAACUAGAUCAAAGCAGUGGAAACUACACGGCUAGAGUGCGUUCGGGGUAGAGGGAAUUCCUGGUGUAGCGGUGAAAUGCGUAGAUAUCAGGAAGAACACCAGUGGCGAAGGCGCUCUACUAGGCCGCAACUGACACUGAGGGACGAAAGCUAGGGGAGCGAAUGGGAUUAGAUACCCCAGUAGUCCUAGCCGUAAACGAUGGAUACUAGGUGUGGCUUGUAUCGACCCAAGCCGUACCGUAGCUAACGCGUUAAGUAUCCCGCCUGGGGAGUACGCACGCAAGUGUGAAACUCAAAGGAAUUGACGGGGGCCCGCACAAGCGGUGGAGUAUGUGGUUUAAUUCGAUGCAACGCGAAGAACCUUACCAAGACUAGACAUGUCGCGAAUCUUUCUGAAAGGAGAGAGUGCCUUCGGGAGCGCGAACACAGGUGGUGCAUGGCUGUCGUCAGCUCGUGUCGUGAGAUGUUGGGUUAAGUCCCGCAACGAGCGCAACCCUCGUUUUUAGUUGCCAGCAUUAAGUUGGGCACUCUAGAGAGACUGCCGGUGACAAACCGGAGGAAGGUGGGGAUGACGUCAAGUCAGCCCCCCUUACGUCUUGGGCUACACACGUACUACAAUGCUACGGACAAAGGGCAGCUACACAGCAAUGUGAUGCAAAUCUCAGAAACCGUAGCUCAGUUCAGAUCGCAGGCUGCAACUCGCCUGCGUGAAGUAGGAAUCGCUAGUAAUUGCAGGUCAGCAUACUGCAGUGAAUUCGUUCCCGGGCCUUGUACACACCGCCCGUCACACCAUGGAAGCUGAUCACGCCCGAAGUCGUUACCCCAACUUUUCGGAGAGGGGGAUGCCGAAGGCAGGAUUGGUGACUGGGGUGAAGUCGUAACAAGGUAGCCGUACCGGAAGGUGUGGCUG
rnacentral:rRNA from 1 species